UACGUAGGGGGCAAGCGUUGUCCGGAUUUAUUGGGCGUAAAGAGCGUGUAGGCGGUUUGGUAGGUCCGUUGUGAAAACUCGAGGCUCAACCUCGAGACGCCGAUGGAAACCAUCAGACUAGAGUCCGGGAGAGGUGAGUGGAAUUCCCAGUGUAGCGGUGAAAUGCGUAGAUAUUGGGAGGAACACCAGUGGCGAAGGCGGCUCACUGGACCGGAACUGACGCUGAGGCGCGAAAGCGUGGGGAGCAAACGGG
rnacentral:rRNA from 1 species